rnacentral:rRNA from 1 species
GGAAGUUUAAGCAAUUAAACUUUAGUGGGCGAACGGGUGAGUAACGCGUAAGCAAUCUGCCCCUAAGACGAGGAUAACAGUUGGAAACUACUGCUAAGACUGGAUAGGAGACAAGAAGGCAUCUUCUUGUUUUUAAAAGACCUAGCAAUAGGUAUGCUUAGGGAGGAGCUUGCGUCACAUUAGUUAGUUGGUGGGGUAAAGGCCUACCAAGACUAUGAUGUGUAGCCGGGCUGAGAGGUUGAACGGCCACAUUGGGACUGAGACACGGCCCAAACUCCUACGGGAGGCAGCAGUAGGGAAUUUUCGGCAAUGGAGGAAACUCUGACCGAGCAACGCCGCGUGAACGAUGAAGUAUUUCGGUACGUAAAGUUCUUUUAUUAGGGAAGAAUAAAUGAUGGAAAAAUCAUUCUGACGGUACCUAAUGAAUAAGCCCCGGCUAACUAUGUGCCAGCAGCCGCGGUAAUACAUAGGGGGCAAGCGUUAUCCGGAAUUAUUGGGCGUAAAGGGUGCGUAGGCGGUUAAAUAAGUUUAUGGUCUAAGUGCAAUGCUCAACAUUGUGAUGCUAUAAAAACUGUUUAGCUAGAGUAAGAUAGAGGCAAGUGGAAUUCCAUGUGUAGUGGUAAAAUGCGUAAAUAUAUGGAGGAACACCAGUAGCGAAGGCGGCUUGCUGGGUCUUUACUGACGCUGAGGCACGAAAGCGUGGGGAGCAAACAGGAUUAGAUACCCUGGUAGUCCACGCCGUAAACGAUGAGUACUAAACGUUGGGUAAAACCAGUGGUUGAAGUUAACACAUUAAGUACUCCGCCUGAGUAGUACGUACGCAAGUAUGAAACUUAAAGGAAUUGACGGGACUCCGCACAAGCGGUGGAUCAUGUUGUUUAAUUCGAAGGUACCCGAAAAACCUCACCAGGUCUUGACAUGCUUCUGCAAAGCUGUAGAAACCCAGUGGGAGGUUAUCAGUUGCACAGGUGGUGCAUGGUUGUCGUCAGCUCGUGUCGUGAGAUGUUGGGUUAAGUCCCGCAACGAGCGCAACCCUUAUUGUUAGUUACCAGCACGUAAUGGUGGGGACUUUAGCAAGACUGCCAGUGAUAAAUUGGAGGAAGGUGGGGACGACGUCAAAUCAUCAUGCCCCUUAUGACCUGGGCUACAAACGUGAUACAAUGGCUGUUACAAAGGGUAGCUGAAGCGCAAGUUUUUGGCGAAUCUCAAAAAAACAGUCUCAGUUCGGAUUGAAGUCUGCAACUCGACUUCAUGAAGUUGGAAUCGCUAGUAAUCGCGAAUCAGCAUGUCGCGGUGAAUACGUUCUCGGGGUUUGUACACACCGCCCGUCAAACCACGAAAGUUGGCAAUACCCAAAGCCGGCGGCCUAACUUCGCAAGAAGAGGGAACCGUCUAAGGUAGGGUCGAUGAUUGGGGUUAAGUCGUAACAAGGUAUCCCUACCGGAAGGUGGGGAUGGAUCACCUCCUUUC